GGAGGGUGCAAGCAUUAAUCGGAUUUAUUGGGCGUAAAGGGCGCGUAGGCGGCCCUGUAAGUCAGGGGUGAAAUUCCGCAGCUCAACUGCGGAGCAGCACUUGAAACUACAGAGCUAGAGUAUAGGCGGAGAAAAUGGAAUUUCACAUGUAGCGGUGAAAUGCGUAGAUAUGUGAAGGAACACCGGUGGCGAAGGCGGUUUUCUAGCCUAUAACUGACGCUGAGGCGCGAAAGCAAGGGGGAGCAAACAGGAUUAGAUACCCUGGUAGUCCUUGCCGUAAACGAUGUAUACUUGAUGUAGUUGGAUUCAACCCUAGCUGUGUCGGAGCUCACGCGAUAAGUAUACCCGCCUGGGGAGUACGCUCGCAAGGGUG
rnacentral:rRNA from 1 species